CUGCUAAUACCUCUCCCUAUACAACCAAGCAUUCUGCUGGCGUUUCCUGCUGCUCUAUUACAUUGUCUGCCUACCUUUAAGUCAUCAGAAAUAAUCACCCCUAAAUCCCUUUCCUCAUAUGUUGAGGUUAGGACUCUAUCAAAUAUUCUGAUUAGUCUGGUUUUAGACAGCCACUACCUGUAGACGUUGUUUCUUUUGUAUUUUAUGUUAAAU